CGCACAGACAUUUCCCCUUACUUUCUAGGAGGAAAAAAACAUUUCUUAUGGAGCGAAAAAUACAGUACCUCCCCUCCAUUACUUAUCCUCCUUCCAAAACUGUAACGUCCACUAAGAAGGUGAUGGAGAGGUAACUAUUACUGCCAACCAAAGAGAUGUGAAAAGUCAGAAGAUACUGCGGUUAAAAAAUAAAUAAAUCUCUGCUGGUUUUGGAUAGUUGGUGCUUGCAAACAUUUGCUGGAUGCUGUGGUUUUUCCUUUUAGUAUAAAAAAGCAUUUUCUGGAAUGUUUCCUAGUAUUGUAUUCAGAGUAGUAUUGUUUUGCUUGUAACUCAAAAGACAGCUGUCCCUUCAGUUGAGUCUAAUCAGAUUGAACUUGGCUAAUCUUCCCAACCUCUUGUCUUCCAGAUGUUAGACUCAACCUAUCAUCAACCUCACCCAGCAUGGCCAUUGGUCAGGGAUGAUGGGAGCUCUGGUCCAACAACAUCUGAUGAUGAUAGGAUGGGGAAGGCUGAACUAGGCCAAACAUUUUUUUAUGAUAUGCCACGUAAUUUUUUUGUUCUCAUUGUUAAAAAUUGGAAGAGUUAUUUCCAUUAAGCUUGUCUCAGAAAUGCUUUUUCAGAAGAAUCUGAUUAAGUCAGUAAGACUAAUAAACUGGGAGAAGUAUCCCAAGCUAUAAUUUAGAGUACCUUGCGAGUUUAAUCUUCUUCCGCACAAGCCCCUUCAAAAUGAGCAGGUAUUACAUAAUAGCAGCACUUCUAAGAUGGAAUAUUGUGUCUAUAGUUGGGAAACUAAUGAGGAAGAGGAAUAAUUAGCCAUUUUAAAAUGGACUUCGUUUUAAAAAAGUACUCGGUUUUUCACCUAAAGUUUAAAAGUAUCAGCAGAAUAUGUGCAACUGUAGACCAAUAUAUAUGUAAUGCUUCCCGCCUAUAGAAAUUCAUCAUAUAGCUUAUCUUCCAAGCUAGGGUUGGUAUGUUAUGAAAGAAUAUCUCUUUACCAGUGCCAGUAAAUAAAAGACUGCUACCAGUUUUCCCCAUCAUUCCUUUCCAUAAUCCAGUUGGUCACUCUUCUGCCCCAACUGCUUAAGUAAUUUUGCCCCAUUCUGAUUGCAGGGAGUGCAGCAAUUUUAACUGUACCAAUUCAGUGGGAAAGGCAAUUCUUAUUCCUUUUAGGUUCCGCUUUUACAUGGAUCUGUGUUAAUGUUACUUCCAAUUUUUCACUGCAUUCCACAGUGAUUUAUUAUAUUUCAGGCAUUUAAACCUAAAUUGUCAUUUGUGAAGCUAUUAUGUAUAUUUAACUUUUAAUACUAUUUAUAAUAAAGCGUAGUCUAUAAUUUA